GACGAACGCUGGCGGCGUGCCUAAUACAUGCAAGUCGAGCGGACCAAAGGGAGCUUGCUCCUGGAGGUCAGCGGCGAACGGGUGAGUAACACGUGGGCAACCUGCCUGUAAGACUGGGAUAACAUCGAGAAAUCGGUGCUAAUACCGGAUAAUAAAAAGAACUGCAUGGUUCUUUUUUGAAAGAUGGUUUCGGCUAUCACUUACAGAUGGGCCCGCGGCGCAUUAGCUAGUUGGUGAGGUAACGGCUCACCAAGGCAACGAUGCGUAGCCGACCUGAGAGGGUGAUCGGCCACACUGGGACUGAGACACGGGCCCAGACUCCUACGGGAGGCAGCAGUAGGGAAUCUUCCGCAAUGGACGAAAGUCUGACGGAGCAACGCCGCGUGAGUGAUGAAGGUUUUCGGAUCGUAAAACUCUGUUGUUAGGGAAGAACAAGUGCCGUUCGAAAGGGCGGCACCUUGACGGUACCUAACGAGAAAGCCACGGCUAACUACGUGCCAGCAGCCGCGGUAA
rnacentral:rRNA from 1 species